UCUGUUCAGCGCUGGUCCUAUGCUAUCAACCCAAAACACGAAGAAGAAUAUAAAGAAAAAGAUUAAAAUACCGCCGUUCCAACUUCCAUCUUCAUCCAACCAUACAACCUUCAAACCAAACUUCCCCUUUGCAAUCUUCCCGUCAACCCCAAACUCCAUUUCAAGAUCCACAAUGAUGGAGACCGGUAAUGGCGGAUCAUCAGAAUCCGUAGCUUCAGAAUCACCAGCAUCAAUCUUAUCACGUUAUAGCUUCACAAUUUCACAACGUUUCCAGCAUUUUCUCGACAAAUCAACACCUCACAUGCUUUACCGUUGGAUCGCAUUCUGUUUCAUCGCAUUUAUAUAUGCUGUUCGAGUUUACUUCGUUCAAGGAUUCUACAUCGUCUCUUAUGGUCUUGGAAUUUACAUUCUUAACCUCCUCAUCGCUUUUCUUUCCCCUCAGGUUGACCCGGAGAUCCAAGAACUCACUGAUGGACCCACUUUGCCUACCCGUGGGUCCGAUGAGUUUCGCCCCUUUGUUCGUCGUCUUCCUGAGUUUAAAUUCUGGUACUCACUAACAAAAGCUUUCUGCAUAGCUUUUGUGAUGACAUUCUUUGAUGUGUUUGAUGUUCCUGUAUUUUGGCCUAUACUCCUCUUCUACUGGGUUGUUUUGUUCACACUCACCAUGAGAAGACAAAUACAUCAUAUGAUUAAAUACAGAUAUGUCCCGUUUUCUUUUGGGAAAAAGCGUUAUGACAAGAGGAGGUCUGCUGCAGAAGAAAGUGCUGCACUUGUGAGGGAUUGAUGUUUUAGUUAUAGGAGUGGUAGCUACAAAUUUUCUAGUGUCUGGUACUUGCACAUGAAAGAAUUGAUUGAUAUCCUAUUCACUCGAGCAAUCUUCGUAGCUGCAAAGAGAACUGAUCUAAUGGAAUCGAGCAGGCUGUUGGUGUUCUUUACAAUCCUCGUCACAUUGCAGAGGAAACAUCACGAUCUCCCUGUAGGCUGUAUCAAAUAGGAACCAUGAUUUCCAUUCAACAACGCCUUGUAUUGGGAUACACCACAGAUACAUGCUUUGCAUUUUUAGAUUUCCAUCUUCCCUGCACGUCGGUUUUUAGCUUGUGAAUCAUUCUAUUCGCUCAUCUUUGGAUUCACGGUACUUGAUGCGGGCCUGAUUUCAUGGGUUCUCUUUGGCAUUUUCAAUUCUUAGCUAUCCAAAAUCUUGGCCAACUUUUGGCAUUGGUUGUCUAUGUAGUUAAGACUGAACAUAGGAAAAAAAAAGGUGAUAAUGGAGUGGAUUAUUGUAUUUUAAAGACCAACAAACUUGGCUUAUUAUCCCUUUUAAGGACAUUCUUUAACACCAUAAAGAACCAAAAGGACUCGCUCAACUUGCUUAUGGUGUUUAUGCUAUCUCUCCUUCUAGAUUGUGCUUCCAUGUAACUAGCUGUAGCCUUGCUAUUAGCAUCUUCACAGGUAGGACAUUAGUGCUUGGCGAGAUAUUAGUACAAUCGUUGAGAUAGUCAUGCAAUGCGCUAUAGGUCACUUGCUUUUCUAAAUCUUGUGGUUCUCGGAGCUGAACGUAUCUUGUACAUGUGCGAAAGCAAUGAUCAGUUCGGUGGCAGAUUGAUAAAACCGUUGAAGCAUUGUUCAUGAAAAUGUUUGCCAAAACCGUUACGAUGUUAAGAACGAUACAAACAACAAUGAACAAAACAACGUUUGAUAAUGUAAACUAAGCAAAAAAGACACAAAGAUUUAAGGAGGUUCACCCAAUGAUGGCUACGUCCUCCGAGGUGUGUAGUUUCUGUUUAUAUUAUAUCAAAUGAGUAUAAACAACACUUACAAAUGAAGAAUUACAAUUGAGUAAGAGAUAAUAACAAAAGACUAUGUGUUUGACUUAGGGGUUGUGUUUGAUGUGUGAGUAUGAGAGCUCUAUAUAUAGUACUAGGUACAUGAAUGUCAAUAGCUCACUUGAAUACAGUAUUAAUAUAGAGUAAUGAAUAAUAUGAAAUAACUCCAAGAACUUGAAAAGUUGAAAAUCAGCAUCCCAUGCACAUCAGAGAAACCGCUCGACUGGAACAGAGAGCUCGGUCGAGCGAGCAUCAGACACAUUCUGGAUACAUUCUGUCUGACCGCUGGACCAACCAAUAAGGCUCGCUCGGUCGAGCGGGUAGGUCGAGCGACCAUUCUAUUCCUCUGACAGAAUUCUAAUCGAACAAACAUAAAUCAAGUCCUUUCUACUUCUUCACUAAUCUUCAUUAACACCAAUAAUUUCCAUGAAUACACUCCCACAUAAUUAUACCCUUUUGGAUUCCACAACUCAAGAGUCACACACAUGAAUACACACUUCAAUUGUGCACUCAAGUCACACAUGUGAUACCAUUCAUAACAGUUCACGCCAACAUUAAUCCAAAUCUCUUGCACAUAAUGCGUCGGUAUACCACUUAGGUAUGGGUAUAUCAUUCUCUUUGUUUCGAAGAUAUGAUUCAAUGGAUAUGCUGAACCAUAUACAAUGAGGUUUGACACAAAUAAUUUCUUUGGAAUUGACAACAUGAUGAUUUUCGGUGCAAAAUGUGUUUUGACAUAAGUGUAGGACCCCUUAUUUCUCGAAGUGUUGGUAUCUCUUUAUUUCAUGGAUCAUAUGCUGCAUAGGAUUCACAAUUUCAAUCGAUAGGUUAGUGUGAACAAUCGAACUUGGAAAACUCGGUUGCCAUAAAAUGAUAAUAAAAAUUGAACAUGGUGCUGCGGUCAAAGGAUGGUGGCCUUCAGAGGGGAGAUUUCUUCCCCACAAAAAAUGAAGAGAUAGUUGUGUUGCCGUUAUGAAAGCUACCAGUGGGAGACCCAAACUUGGGAUUAGAGCUGUUGGCCCAUUGUCUUUCCCACAUAAAAGCGGAGAACUGUGAGGGCCGAGGGGGUCAUUACAGAUAGUUGUGUCAUUAGCGGGUACUCGAGAUUUCGAGUACCCGUAAAGCCAGGUACUCGGUUAUUCGGGUGCCUAUUUUAACGGCCCGUGUCCCGGCAUAAUUUAUCUGGAUACUCAGAUAAAUCGGGUCGGGGCACCGGGUACCCAGACAAAUUCAAAUUAAAGAAAUUGGGUACUUGAAAGACUUAACAAGAUCACUGAUUAGUAAUUACAAAAGCGAGAGAAAGCAAUUGACAUGGAUAUGAGCUUUAUUAUUUUUUGUGUAAUUUAAAUUAAAAAAACAACCCACAUAUGAAAUCCUAAUAAAAUAUGAAAGCACGGUGUUUGGAGGGUGAGGGAAGAAUAAUAUGAGGAACUUGCCCUACUUUGGCUCAUUGUGGGGCUUAUAAUAACCAAAGACAGAGUAGCAAGUCUCUGCAGCAGUAAGCAACAAUAAGAAAACAGCAACCAGAAAGGAGAUCACAGCCCAAGGAUUGUAAAAGUAGCUGUGCUUCAUGCUAGCGCGCCAAGCAUUCCAUCUGUGAUUAUAAUACCUGUUUACUUCUUUAGACACCUUAGAUAGAUAGCUAUCAUUGAUGUCAAACACGACGUCCUGGCAGAGAUUGUUAAAUAUGUCAGCUACUUUAGCAUCAUUUCCAAGCCAAUACUCGAUUAUCCCACAGUAGUGAAGGUAAUUCACAUCCUGUGCUGAGUCGAUUAAGUUAUUCAUGAAAACUAGGUAAGCUGUAGUUUUGUUGGUGCAAUCAAGAUGGCUUUGCUCAAAUGCCACUAGGUUAAAGAACAAUGAUUUAGUCCCAUCAUGGACUAAUAAUCGAGGAAUAUGAAGUACUCCGUAUUCGAACUCUAUGUCCCAAAAACGGUCUGUCUUCCUCUUUUUAAACUUGAUACCAGACUCUUUUAAGGUCCGUGAUACUAUGUAUGAACUGAGUCCUUCGUUGAUCAGCCACUAAAUUUCUCCAAGGCCGUUUUCUAAACCUAUGUCUAGGAAGUGGUUCGAGACCUUUUCUGAGUAGACUCCUUCGAAAGACAUCAAGGCAAUGCAGUCCAGACUGGUCUGAUAAUGGAUCAAAUGGAACCAAGUUUUUGUGUAAAGACGAUUUCAAGUCCAUGUUCUCCCUAUUGAUCAAUGGCUCAUCAAUGGGUGACAAAGGAUCUGCAACAACAUUCUUUUGAUUUGGAUCACCUAAUUGUAGGGAAAUAAUUUUCUCCAAGACAAAUAACGGAAUCUGAUUCUCGAUCAUCAUCAUAUCACGUCUGAUAGAAUACAUCAUCAUAUCACGUCUGAUAGAAUACAUCAUCCCCCUCAUCGCGAAUAUAGGAUCAUUCCUCUCAUACCCAAGGAUUUUAAACCCUUCAGUAUACCCUCUAAAAAACUCGAGAAGAAAGCAUCCGUCUAGCAACAACAUUUCAACAAACUCGUUACUUGUGAGGCUCAACGGGCCUUCAUAACAAGCUCGAGCCUUCUCUUCGAGUUCUUGGAUAGUCUCGAUAUACAGCUUUAUACUCUGCCUCAUGCGCUUCAACAUAAUGUGUAAGGCCCUCCAUUUGUGGCGUUCCAUCAAGAGAAGGCAUCGCUUCCCUCCAUGGUAAGGCCCUAUAGAAACUACUUGAGGAACAUAAACCUUAUUCUCACCUAAUCCUUGAUCCCUCAAGAUAUGUGGGAUUCUGUAAAUACAGAUGUUAGACCAUGAACCAGCAACAUCAUCGUUACUUGCUCGUUCAAGCUUUUCUUUGAUGGA